GAUGAACGCUGGCGGCGUGCCUAAUACAUGCAAGUCGAGCGAACAGACGAGGAGCUUGCUCCUCUGACGUUAGCGGCGGACGGGUGAGUAACACGUGGAUAACCUACCUAUAAGACUGGGAUAACUUCGGGAAACCGGAGCUAAUACCGGAUAAUAUAUUGAACCGCAUGGUUCAAUAGUGAAAGACGGUUUUGCUGUCACUUAUAGAUGGAUCCGCGCCGCAUUAGCUAGUUGGUAAGGUAACGGCUUACCAAGGCAACGAUGCGUAGCCGACCUGAGAGGGUGAUCGGCCACACUGGAACUGAGACACGGCCCAGACGCCUACGGGAGGCAGCAGUAGGGAAUCUUCCGCAAUGGGCGAAAGCCUGACGGAGCAACGCCGCGUGAGUGAUGAAGGUCUUCGGAUCGUAAAACUCUGUUAUUAGGGAAGAACAAAUGUGUAAGUAACUAUGCACGUCUUGACGGUACCUAAUCAGAAAGCCACGGCUAACUACGUG
rnacentral:rRNA from 1 species